GCAGUCGAGCGGACUGAUGGGAGCUUGCUCCUGUUUUUCGGCGGACGGGUGAGUAACACGUGGGUAACCUGCCUGUAUAACUGGGAUAACUCCGGGAAACCGGGGCUAAUACCGGAUGGUUGUCUGAACCGCAUGGUUCAGACAUAAAAGGUGGCUUCGGCUACCACUUACAGAUGGACCCGCGGCGCAUUAGCUAGUUGGUGAGGUAACGGCUCACCAAGGCGACGAUGCGUAGCCGACCUGAGAGGGUGAUCGGCCACACUGGGACUGAGACACGGCCCAGACUCCUACGGGAGGCAGCAGUAGGGAAUCUUCCGCAAUGGACGAAAGUCUGACGGAGCAACGCCGCGUGAGUGAUGAAGGUUUUCGGAUCGUAAAGCUCUGUUGUUAGGGAAGAACAAGUGCCGUUCAAAUAGGGCGGCACCUUGACGGUACCUAACCAGAAAGCCACGGCUAACUACGUGCCAGCAGCCGCGGUAAUACGUAGGUGGCAAGCGUUGUCCGGAAUUAUUGGGCGUAAAGGGCUCGCAGGCGGUUUCUUAAGUCUGAUGUGAAAGCCCCCGGCUCAACCGGGGAGGGUCAUUGGAAACUGGGGAACUUGAGUGCAGAAGAGGAGAGUGGAAUUCCACGUGUAGCGGUGAAAUGCGUAGAGAUGUGGAGGAACACCAGUGGCGAAGGCGACUCUCUGGUCUGUAACUGACGCUGAGGAGCGAAAGCGUGGGGAGCGAACAGGAUUAGAUACCCUGGUAGUCCACGCCGUAAACGAUGAGUGCUAAGUGUUAGGGGGUUUCCGCCCCUUAGUGCUGCAGCUAACGCAUUAAGCACUCCGCCUGGGGAGUACGGUCGCAAGACUGAAACUCAAAGGAAUUGACGGGGGCCCGCACAAGCGGUGGAGCAUGUGGUUUAAUUCGAAGCAACGCGAAGAACCUUACCAGGUCUUGACAUCCUCUGACAAUCCUAGAGAUAGGACGUCCCCUUCGGGGGCAGAGUGACAGGUGGUGCAUGGUUGUCGUCAGCUCGUGUCGUGAGAUGUUGGGUUAAGUCCCGCAACGAGCGCAACCCUUGAUCUUAGUUGCCAGCAUUCAGUUGGGCACUCUAAGGUGACUGCCGGUGACAAACCGGAGGAAGGUGGGGAUGACGUCAAAUCAUCAUGCCCCUUAUGACCUGGGCUACACACGUGCUACAAUGGACAGAACAAAGGGCAGCGAAACCGCGAGGUUAAGCCAAUCCCACAAAUCUGUUCUCAGUUCGGAUCGCAGUCUGCAACUCGACUGCGUGAAGCUGGAAUCGCUAGUAAUCGCGGAUCAGCAUGC
rnacentral:rRNA from 1 species